UGAAGGCCUGUUUGCUUCUCUCCAGUUUUAAUUUGUGUCACAAGUGCAGAGAUGAGCGGCAGCCUGCCAGGUCUGCACCAAGAACCCUGGAGGAGGGUCUCCCCAGAGAACCCACACAGAGCCCUUUUAUGAGGUUCAGGCCUCAACACCUGAUUGGAAGCAACUGCUCCUCCCACCCGACAGGUGAGUAAGCUGCUUGGGGCUCGGGGAUGGCCCAGCUCAGACUCAGGCCCUGCCCACGGGUCUCACGUCUUGCCACACGGUAUCCAACACCUGUAUCAGUUAAAACAUCUCACUUUCAAUCAAUAGAAAUGUUCUUCUUAAAUGUAUUUAUGGAUUUAUUUAUUGCAGUACUGGGAAUUAAACAGAAUGGGCCUUAGAGGAAUUGAAACACAUCAGUUGAGAUGAUUGGCUUAUUUCCUUGAUAGAUCUCACAUCAGACAACUGGGCCUGAAUUGCCGCAGGUUCUGAAAUGGGUCCAGUCCGGUGCAAAGAGAUCAGCCUCACACAAAUAACCCAGUGUGAGACCCAGAGUGCUGUCUGGGACGUUGCCAGCAGGACCUUGCUGGGCUCUAACAGGUAUUUCCUCCUAGAACCUUUUCGCCAGCCAACCCCAUGUGUCCCUGGCUCCUCACCAAAGGAAAAGGAGAAAUGCUUCCUUCCUUCUUCCUCCUGGGGCUUCUUCCCUCUGCCUGGGGCAGACCCACUGCCACUGCACCGGGGCAGAAGCUCCCGCAAGGAUGUCACUGUGCCUGGGAUCUGAGUCGCCAGCCAAUUACAAGGAUGUACUUGCUAUGACUGAGAACCGGCAGGUUGGCAGGAGGGCAGCUCGGCAGGCUGGCAGAGCAGGUUUCUGGCCGGGGACCCAGCCCCAAACCAAGUUUACAAAACAGCUGCUCCGCUGGGGCCCUGUGAUGAGCAAGCCCGUCAGGGUGGACUCCAGGUGGUGCUGAGCUGCGGUCAUCAGAAGGAAUGCCCCAAACAUUAACAAGGCCAGGAAGGCCAGAGAUCUGGUGAGCCUUGGUGACCUCGCAGCCUGUCAUCAGCCCGGCCCAGAAAUGGGCCCCUGUCUUCACUGGCUGCUCAGCCUCGUACCCAUGGGAGAAGAGCCGGCAGCACAACCACACAGCCCUGCUGCACGCCUGGGCAGCCUGCUUGGUCCUGGGAGUAAACCACCAGAUCCCAGAGAAAACCUAAGUUGACAAAGCACAGCUCCAGUCAGAGGCACCCAAAUGACAGUCACAGAAAACGCCCUCUCGCCCGAACUGCCUUUUUACUAACAUGUUGAUUGACACACACUCUUGUCCACCUUUGGAAAGUGGGUGAUGCUUUGAUCUCGUGCACAUGGAGCCACAGUAAGGCAGGGUGAUGGGCGUGCUGUCGCCUCGUGCUGAUGCUCUACGGCAGGACAACGUAGGAAUGUCGUGCUGUUGCUCUAUCUCAUGCCAACGCAGGAACGGCCUCGCCACGUCAGAGCGCUUUCACAGCCGUCACCCAUUCACUUCUCACGGCAUGCCUGAUGGGGGCUGCAUGGCCAGCGCACCCUCAUGGGAGGACACUGAGUCUGGCAGCGAGGCCCCUAUGUGGGGAUCGGCCUGCCAGCCCUGCUCUGCCAGGCUCCCCUUUGUCACCUGCCCCUCCCAGGCAGCCUUCAGGCCCGGCCAGAGGCGUUGAUUGCUACUGCUAGAAGAGGACAUGGCGAUCUACACUUUCAGCAGGCUUCGAGGCACUUGUUACAAUGGACUCGCUGAAGAGCAGAAGCGCUGUGACUAAGGAUUCAGCUGGGACAGCAGCAUGCUGGGGCUGAUGUCCACAGGUGGAGCUGGAAGGUCACCCUGCUGCAGAACACACUUGCAGGAGACCUUCUUCUGGAGGGAUGGCACUGGCCAGUGGGUGAGAACUCGACUCCUGCCUGCACAUCACCGGGGGCUCACAGUCGCCUGCAGAGAGACUCCAAGACUGGAGCCAGGACCAUCCCCCACUCCCUGCCUGGGAUUACUUCCUGGUGCGUGAGUUGCCAGUGACCUGCUAGUUCUUAAGGGUCAAAGUUCACGGCUCUCCUUGUUAUUGCUACCCUAUUUACAAAGAGAAUUUGAAGCAACAGCUUCUUGAGUCAUUUUUACCAUUUUUAGAUGCAAUUCCUCCUGUCUCUCUGAGCGACUGGUCUCUAAUGUCCCUUCUUCCUGUCCCCCUCAGUAGGAAAGACAGGAGUUUUAGCAUUCCACAGGGCACCAAGUUCAUUUCUCAUGCAGCCCAUUGUGGCCACGUCCAAGUUCAGGACAGGAUGAAAGCAGAGUUGGCCUUCGCACUUUCCAGGAGUUCCUAAAGGGAAGAAGCGCUAAUUUUCUUGUUCUUCCUUCCUCUUUACUGGCUAGGACAGGAACCGAAUGACUGGUGCUCUGCAGCUCUUUUGGAACAUGAAGUAGCCUUGGCAACGGAAGUCAAGCAUGGCAAAACACGGCUGAAAAGGAGCCUAGUCCCUGAUGCAGGGGUGUGUCACCGUGGAUGGGGUGCUUCCGGGCUUCCUGACUGUGAGAGGCCAUCUUCUGAUCUUUUUAUGCUGCGUUCAGUUGUAGUCACAGGUGAUUCUAAUAAACACAUCUCGCCUUUUUCCUCCUCUCAGCCGAUACUGAGGAGAAGGAUAGAUCAGGUGGGAGGGGGGUACAGGAAGUACCAGGGCAGUCGGGACAAGAUCCAUCAGCAGCUGUUGCUCAGAAUUUCCUUCCAUCGGCCGCCAUUCAGCUCCUCAGUCUUUCCUGGCGUCUCUCUAUGAAAACUUGAAAUGAAAGC
rnacentral:lncRNA from 1 species